GUCACACUCAGAAAGGUUACUGGCUGACUCAAGCCCUUUUAAAAAUGCAUUUUCUGGUCCUUGCUGAAGUCCAACAAAAUGGCUCAGGACUCACUCACAGAGCUCACACACAAAUGAGUGGGGCUGGUGCUUCUGCAAUGGAUCAAAUAAUCACGUUACCAGGCUGCUGGAAGACCAGAUCAUGCAUCAAGAGUCUGGAGACAGCUCCACCUCCUCCCACCUCCUAGCCUUCCUGCCUCCCUGGGACAGGUUCUAGCCAUCAACUCCCCCAGCUCUGCAUGGAGGCUGCUGCCACCACACCUGGGGUUGGGACUUUGUCUCAGGUGCAGGCAGGAUUGACAUGGGACACCAGCAGUGCUGAGUCCUGGGGUGAGGCCCUCCUGCCUCAAGAGUAUCCUGUGGCCAAGGGGCAAGGACAUUUAAAUAGCAAAUAACAUCUUGACAGGACAAGAGAGAGACUGCAGACUACAGAUGAAUAGAAACAUCACUUCUUCCCCCUGCUCUUUGAACAAGAGAAACUAC